rnacentral:rRNA from 1 species
AGACAGGUGCUGCAUGGCUGUCGUCAGCUCGUGUUGUGAAAUGUUGGGUUAAGUCCCGCAACGAGCGCAACCCUUAUCCUUUGUUGCCAGCGGUCCGGCCGGGAACUCAAAGGAGACUGCCAGUGAUAAACUGGAGGAAGGUGGGGAUGACGUCAAGUCAUCAUGGCCCUUACGAGUAGGGCUACACACGUGCUACAAUGGCGCAUACAAAGAGAAGCGACCUCGCGAGAGCAAGCGGACGUCAUAAAGUGCGUCGUAGUCCGGAUUGGAGUCUGCAACUCGACUCCAUGAAGUCGGAAUCGCUAGUAAUCGUGGUUCGGAAUGCCACGGUGAAUACGUUCCCGGGCCUU